AUACUUACCUGGCAGGGGAGACACCAUGAUCCCGAAGAUGGUUUUCCCAGGGUGAGGCUCAGCCAUUGCACCGCGGCUGUGCUGACCCCUGCGAUUUCCCCAAAUGCGGGAAACUCGGCUGCGUAAUUGGUGGUAGUGGGAGAUUACGUUCGCGCUUUUU